CUAAGCUGAGCCGAGCUGCCCGUGGCCAGCCCGGCGGUGCAGGUGUAGUCUCUAUUACCCUCUUAGCCAGAGCAUGCUCCUGGGGGCUGCUGGGAGUGCCCUGCCUUGCCCCCUCAAGCCAAAUAGCUCCUGAGGAAAGGGAGGUCUCUUCCCCAGGCCGGGUUGGGCGCAGGUUGGGGGGGGCGGAAGGGCAGCUUUAAGGGGGCCGGGAGGGCCAGUGAGUCUGAGUCCUUGCCACACCCACAAUGGAGCUGCGACCUUACCAGUGGGAGGUGAUCAUGCCAGCCCUGGAGGGCAAGAAUAUCAUCAUAUGGCUGCCCACGGGCGCUGGGAAGACCCGGGCAGCUGCCUAUGUGGCCAAGAGACAUCUAGAGACUGUGGACAAAGCCAAGGUGGUUGUACUGGUCAACAGGGUGCACCUGGUGACCCAGCAUCAUGAGGAGUUUAGCCGCAUGCUGGGUGGACGCUGGGCCAUAGCAACCCUGAGUGGGGCCAUGGGACCAAGGGCUGGCUUCGGACACCAGGCCCGUAGCCAUGACUUGCUCAUCUGCACAGCUGAGCUGCUGCAGAUGGCACUGACCAGCUCCGAGGAGGAGGAACACGUGGAGCUCAAUGACUUCUCCCUGCUUGUGGUGGACGAGUGUCACCACACACACAAAGACACAGUCUACAACAUCAUCCUGAGCCGGUACCUAGAGCAUAAACUCCGGAGGGUGCAGCCCCUGCCCCAGGUGCUGGGUCUCACAGCCUCCCCAGGCACUGGUGGGGCCUCCAUGCUUAGUGGAGCAAUCGACCAUGUCCUGCAGCUCUGUGCUAACCUGGACACGUGGCGCAUCAUGUCACCCCAGGAGCACCACCCCCAGCUGCAGGAGCACACCCGCCAGCCCUGCAAACAGUAUGAUCUCUGCCAAGAGCGCAGCCAGGACCCGUUUGGGAACUUGGUGAAGAAGCUCAUGGGCCAAAUCCACGACUACCUGGAGAUGCCUGAGUUGAGCCAGGACUUCGGGACGCAGACGUACGAGCAGCAGGUGGUGGAACUGAGCCAGGCGGCGGCUGAGGCCGGGCUCCAGGAGCGGCGAGUGUGCGCGCUGCACUUGCGGCGCUACAACGAUGCGCUGCUCAUCCACGACACCGUCCGCGCUGUGGACGCCCUGAACACGCUGAGGGACUUUUACGACAGGGAGCGCGCCACUAAGAUCCAGGUGCUGAAUGCCGAGCGCUGGCUGCUGCUGCUGUUUGAUGCUCACAAAAAUGAGCUGGUGCGCCUGGCCACUCAUGGCCCAGAGAACCCGAAACUGGAGUUGCUGGAACAGAUCCUGCAGAAACAAUUUGGAAGUCCCGAUGACCCCCGGGGUAUCAUCUUCACCCGCACCCGCCAGAGCGCCCACUCGCUGCAGCUCUGGCUCCAGCAGCAGCCGGGACUGCAGACGGUGGACAUCAGGGCCCAGCUGCUCAUUGGGGCAGGGAACAGCAGCCAGAGGAUCCACAUGACCCAGAGGGACCAGCAGGAGGUGAUCCGGAAGUUCCGAGCUGGCACCCUGAACCUCCUGGUGGCCACAAGUGUGGCCGAGGAGGGGCUGGACAUCCCCCACUGCAAUGUGGUGGUGCGCUACGGACUCCUGACCAACGAGAUCUCCAUGGUCCAGGCGAGAGGCCGUGCCCGGGCUGGGGAGAGUGUGUACUCAUUUGUGGCAGCCAAGGGCAGUAGAGAGCUGCGGCGGGAGCUGACCAACGAGGCGCUGGAGGCCCUGAUGGAGCGAGCCGUGGCAGCUGUACAGAAGAUGGACCAGGCUGAGUACCAGGCCAAGAUCCGGGACCUACAGCGGGCAGCCCUGGUCAAGCGGGCAGCCCAGGCAGAGCAGCAGUCAAGCCGGCGGCAGCAGUUCCUGGCAGAGCAUGUGCGGCUCUUCUGCAUCAACUGCUCGGUGCCCGUGGGCCAUGGGAGUGACCUGCGGAAGGUGGAGGGUGCCCACCAUGUCAACGUGAACCCCAACUUCUCCCUGUUUUACAGGUGAGGAAAAUGAAGCUCAGAGAGGCUAAGUGACUUGUCCAACCUCCACAGCCACUGUGUGGUUGAGCAAGAGCUAGAAUUCAGGACACCCAAUGCUGAGGGACUACAAGGGGUACCAGGUACUUUGGUCCUACAUAUUCUGAGGACCUCUGUUCUCUAGGGGAUAAUCAUCUCCCCUUCACAAAACCUUUGUUCCUCAUUCAUUCAUUAAAUAACUUCAUUAGGUACCUACUAUGUGCCAGGCACUGUGCCAGUGAUUUUCACCCAGGUUCUCUCAUUUGAGGAGGUAGCAUUUCAACUGGGUCUCAGAGGAUGGGCUGGCUUUGGAUAUAAAAAAAUGAGAAGAUGAGUAUAGGCAAGGGUGAUGGAAAGCAAAAAGACAGGAGUCAUUCCAGUUGACCUGAGUGGAAGGGGUUGUCAAUGGUGAGAUUCAGAAGGAAGACACAUUAGCCUAUGGAGGAUCUUGAAGGUUAGACCUGAAAGUUUAGCAUAUUUGCAUUUUUAGAAGAUCACUCCAGCAGUUGGUGGAAGGAUGAAUUGGGGGUGGGAGUAAAGAGUAGGGACAUCCAGUUGGAGGCUGUUGAUAUUAUGCAGGUGAGUUAUGCUGAGGCCUGAACUUGGCCAGUGCAGGCUAGGGGGGAGGCAGCACAGGCAGACAUAUUGAAGAUUGGAUUUUCUGGCCCUGGGAAGCCCCUGUGCCUCUUGACUCCUGGGAGGCAGAAAGGCCCAAGGCCCAGGAAGAGACUCAGCAAGCAGGAGGGCAUGAGAUCUGGGUCUGAAAGGUCCAUGAGGGUUCACCCAUGUAGCCACCCCCAUUCCUUUCCAGGAUCUACUACACUGUCUCCCAGGCACCUGUGGUCAUAGACAGAGACUUCAGGGACUGGAGCCCUGGGGGUGCCAUUAGCUGCAGGAACUGUGGGGAGCCCUGGGGUCUGCAAAU